rnacentral:misc_RNA from 1 species
UCAGUGAAAUGUCACAUGCCAAAACUAAUCGGCUAGUAGAAAAUGGCGAAUUGUAAAUGAUGUGUGUGUGGUGUUGUGUUGAUAGUUAUUUUCUUUUAUUUUGCGAUGUCCGGUACACCGUCAACACGUCGAAAUGGGGCACAGAAGAUCCGUUUAACCAUUCUUUGCGCCAGGAACCUAGUGCGGAAAGAUCUGUUUCGGCUUCCCGAUCCAUUUGCUAAGAUAUCGGUGGACGGAAGUGGGCAGUGCCACUCAACCGAAACGGUGAAAAACACCUUGGAUCCGAAAUGGAAUUCACACUACGACCUGUACAUUGGCAAGAACGACACCAUCACUAUUUCAGUGUGGAAUCAUCGCAAAGUGCACAAGAGACAGGGUAGCGGAUUUUUGGGGUGUGUGAGGAUCGUUAACUCGUUGAUUCAGAGGCUGAAGGAUACAGGAUACCAAUGCUUGGACCUGUGCAAAUCAUCCCAAGACGACAGCGAGCUGGUGAAGGGCCAGAUAAUAAUCUCCUUACUGUCACGUGAUGGCCCUUGUGGGGGCACGCCGUUGGCCAUUGUAAGUCCUCUGGGCGAUAUCAGAGGCCCUUUGAACGCGCCCCCAGCGGAAAAUGGCAACUGCGACGUGCAGAACGGCCCUGUAGAAGAUUUGCCUCCAGGCUGGGAGGAGCGACGGGCCUCCAAUGGACGGCCUUACUUUGUAAAUCACGUCACCAAGUCGACCCAGUGGAUCCGACCGCAGCUGAACGGAAAAGUGGUGGCUGUAAAUAGGUUCCGAUCGGGCCAUAAUCAUGAAGCUAAUGGGAAUGUGAAUAAUAACGAGAUUAUAUUUUACAGGAUUGAUGCGGAACCAGUGAAUAAUAAUAACCAGAUUGAGAUGUCCCAACCUCUAACGCCUGGGUCCAGCGCUUCUUUGGGGUCCCCAAUGGUUAGUCCCCAGCAUAACGAAUCCAGGCAGGUUGCAGUGAAUGUUGCAGUCACUGCAUCUCCUUCCGAAUCAAGAGCACUGCUUUUAACCGCUUUGCCGGGCACUGCAAGUGAACCUAGUCAUGUUAGUGGCAGCCCGGUUGCAUCUGCUAGUUCCACUACAGGUCCCAGUGCAAGCGUGAGCAGCAGUGUUGGGCCGCAGACAAACGGGCAAAGUCCUCAAAGGAUGCCCACGAACAGAGAGAGGAGGGUUCGGGCUAUAGAGGAAAAGCGCGAUGGAAGCAGCAGACGUAGAGGAGGUCGCAAUCGCAAUUCAGUAUUAGCGGCUCAAGCGGCUGCUCAAGUCGCAGCUGCUGUGGGUCAGUCAGCGGCCAAUGGGAACGUUAGUGGAUCGAAGCUCGACUUACCGGCGGGAUUUGAACUGCGCACUACGCAGCAAGGCCAGGUUUACUUCUAUCAUAUCCCAACGGGAGUUUCUACGUGGCAUGAUCCGAGAAUACCCAAAGACUUGACGCCCUUAAGCCUAGCUUUGGACCACUUGGGGCCUUUACCCUCAGGCUGGGAAAUGCGGCAAACCACUUCAGGCAGAAUUUACUUUGUCGAUCACAAUAGCCGCACGACGCAAUUUACGGAUCCCCGCCUAAACUCGCAAAUUCUGAAUAACAUUCUUAAGAGAGUGACACCACAAGCUGUUCAGCACAACGGCCAGCCGCCAGUCAGCACUGCCACAGUCCCGUUAAGCGUUAGCACGGCCACAACUACAACAGCGCCAGCUUCUGCUAGUGUUGUUAACAAUGUAGUGGCUGCGGCGCCCCAGAAUGCCGCCCCGGUCUCUCCCAGGCCCCGCGUUUAUGAGGAUUUGCCUCAGGGCCUGCUGAGUGAAAGUGAGCAUUUACCGAAGUACCGAAGAGAUUUGGUCGCGAAGCUCAAGGUGCUGAGAGCUGAGUUGACGGCACUGCAGCCACAAAGCGGCCAUUGUCGACUAGAGGUGUCCAGGACUGAAGUAUUUGAAGAGAGUUACAGACUUAUAAUGAAAAUGCGACCAAAAGACAUGCGUAAGCGACUAAUGGUUAAGUUCCGUGGCGAGGAAGGCUUGGACUAUGGGGGAAUCGCCCGCGAGUGGCUCCACUUGCUUUCCAGGGAAAUGUUGAAUCCCCAAUACGGGUUGUUUCAAUACAGCCGGGACGAUCACUACACGUUGCAAAUCAAUCCCGAUUCCUCCGUCAAUCCCGAGCAUUUGUCCUACUUUCAUUUCGUCGGGCGGAUAUUGGGGAUAGCAGUGUUCCAUAACCACCAACUGGAGGGCGGUUUUACGCUCCCCUUCUACAAACAGCUGCUGAACAAGCCAAUUACACUGCAGGAUAUUGAGGGGGUCGACCCCGAGUUGCACAGAAGUCUCACUUGGAUGCUCGAAAACAACAUCGAUGAUGUUCUGGAUACCUCUUUCUCCGUGGAGAAUAACAGCUUUGGGGUGGUGAAAGUGCACGAACUGAAAACUGGAGGGUCCAGCAUAACAGUCACCGAAGACAACAAAAGAGAGUAUGUGAAGCUCUAUGUGAAUUACAGAUUCAUGAGGGGCAUAGAGCAGCAGUUCCUGGCGCUCCAAAAAGGGUUCAUCGAGCUGAUUCCACCCGCCUCGUUGAGGCCUUUUGAUGAAAGAGAGUUGGAAUUGGUGAUUAGUGGAAUUGGGUCAAUCGACAUAGCUGAUUGGCGCUCUCAUACUAGAAUGAAGCAUUGCACUGCUGAAACGCCAGUUGUGCAAUGGUUUUGGCAAGUGGUCGAGUCCUAUUCAGAAGAGAUGCGUGCUCGGUUGUUGCAGUUUGUCACUGGCAGCUCGCGAGUGCCGCUCCAAGGGUUUAAGGCCUUGCAAGGCAGUACCGGUGCAGCAGGCCCACGUCUUUUCACGAUUCACUGUAUUGAAGCUCCACCGCAGAACCUUCCGAAGGCCCACACCUGCUUUAACCGAAUAGACAUCCCGCCCUAUGAGACGUACCAGGCGUUGUACGAAAAACUGACUCAAGCAGUUGAGGAAACUUGCGGCUUCGCCGUUGAAUGAUAGAAGCAUUAAGGUAAGUAAGCAUUUUUCACAAAAACAUUCCUCGAUCCGGUGGCAAGCGAAUCAAGCGUUUUUGAGUUGAGUAUUUCCCACCCCUGCGAACGUUAUCUCAAAACUGUGCCUCUAGGUGAUGUAUGCUCAAUCUGUUGAGCAGACACCUACCUUUCAUCGCUUCAAUGGGCCAACAGUAGUACGCUUUGAAGACUGCUAAGUGCCUUUAAGUCCACUAUUGUAAUCACCAAGUGCCUACUUGUUACUCAAUUAUAACACUGCAACGCUCAGCUUCAAUUGAAGACGCUUUAGAAAGCAGACGUUUAGGGUCCCGAAUUGUUCGUUGGUUGGUGAGAAAUUCAAUAAUAUUUGGACUUUGUUUCAACAAUCAAUCCAACACGAUUCGGACAUUUUCGCACCAGCAUUGUGUUACUGAAGUAAAACUCAAGUUUAGUUUAGUCAGUUCAGCAGUUCACACUUUGCGUUAGGUUAGAGGUUUAUUUUUGUAGACUUCACUCACUGUGCACAUAAUUCCAAGAUUAAGUACAAAAAAGAUUGAUUGAAGCACAAUUGCAACCGAUCCAUAUCAGAUGAAUGCUAGAAGCACUCACUCUUUUUUCGGGGUUGUACGCGAAAUGGUCCGGUUAUUUAUGAUUCAUGUGUUUUUAACUGGAAUACAAUGGAUAUUUCAAUCAAGAAAAGUAUCGGUUUGUAUUUCAAAUCGAUGUUAAAAUAGUGUCAUCGUUUUAUCUUUCAUUGAGCCUGAGACAGAAAUUUAUUAAAAUUGGUGUAACUUUACUAGAUCUAUUGAAAAGCGGAAUUGUGAUUUAUUUAUAACUGUGUAUAUAAUAGAUGAUGGGGAUUUUCCUCCCUGUAUUGUUAUUGAUUAGUUUAAAUGUUUAUCAGUUGAAUUGUAUAUGAAUAUGAAUAUAUUGCACAGGUGGCGUUGAUAGGCGGAUAAUUUUUGUUAUAAAUAAUAUUUAUGUUCAAUAUUGAUGUUACGCGUAAAAUAGCCUGUAAAUAUUUCCCUUUUUUAAUCGCAUUUUUUGUGAACCCAUUAUCUUACUAUUAUUAUUAUUAUUAUUAUUUAGCCUUAAAUUAAACUAAUAUAUCGCAUUUGUACAUUUGUGUACAGUAUUUUAACGGAAUGUCACGAGAAUUUGUUUUCUAUCACGUUUUUAUUUUUCAUAUUUUCUAUUGAUCUGAUUGGUUUGUUUACGAAAAGCCAGAGAUUGAUUUAUGAAUGAAUAAAUACAUAUUGCUUUAA